GACGAACGCUGGCGGCGUGCUUAACACAUGCAAGUCGAACGGAAAGGCCCUGCUUUUGUGGGGUGCUCGAGUGCCGAACAGGUGAGUAUCACGUGAGUAACCUCCCCUUGACUUUGGGAUACCUUCAGGGAACUCGGGCUCUUAUCCGAUAUAAGCUCCUUCUACAUGGGUUUGAUUGUAGAAAUUCGUAGGUUGGGGAUGCACUGGCGGCUUAUCAGUUUGUUGGUGGGGUGGUGGAUUACCAGGGCUUUGACGGGUAGCCGGCCUGAGAGGGUGACCGGCCACAAUGGCACUGAGAAACGGCCCAGACGGCAACGGGAGGCAGGGGUGGGAGAUUGUGCGCGAUGGGCGGAAGGAGGAUGGAGGAACGUCGGGUGGGGGAUGACGGCCUUCGGGGUGUAAACCGCGUGAGCCUGGGAAGAAGAGUGAGUGACGGUAAUGGGUAAAGAAGCACCGGCUAACUACGUG
rnacentral:rRNA from 1 species